rnacentral:rRNA from 1 species
GGAAAGGCGCGCGAUACAGGGUGACAGCCCCGUACACAAAAAUGCACAUGCUGUGAGCUCGAUGAGUAGGGCGGGACACGUGGUAUCCUGUCUGAAUAUGGGGGGACCAUCCUCCAAGGCUAAAUACUCCUGACUGACCGAUAGUGAACCAGUACCGUGAGGGAAAGGCGAAAAGAACCCCGGCGAGGGGAGUGAAAAAGAACCUGAAACCGUGUACGUACAAGCAGUGGGAGCACGCUUAGGCGUGUGACUGCGUACCUUUUGUAUAAUGGGUCAGCGACUUAUAUUCUGUAGCAAGGUUAACCGAAUAGGGGAGCCGAAGGGAAACCGAGUCUUAACUGGGCGUUAAGUUGCAGGGUAUAGACCCGAAACCCGGUGAUCUAGCCAUGGGCAGGUUGAAGGUUGGGUAACACUAACUGGAGGACCGAACCGACUAAUGUUGAAAAAUUAGCGGAUGACUUGUGGCUGGGGGUGAAAGGCCAAUCAAACCGGGAGAUAGCUGGUUCUCCCCGAAAGCUAUUUAGGU